rnacentral:rRNA from 1 species
GAUGAACGCUGGCGGCGUGCCUAAUACAUGCAAGUCGAGCGAACGGACGAGAAGCUUGCUCCUCUGAUGUUAGCGGCGGACGGGUGAGUAACACGUGGAUAACCUACCUAUAAGACUGGGAUAACUUCGGGAAACCGGAGCUAAUACCGGAUAAUAUUUUGAACCGCAUGGUUCAAAAGUGAAAGACGGUCUUGCUGUCACUUAUAGAUGGAUCCGCGCUGCAUUAGCUAGUUGGUAAGGUAACGGCUUACCAAGGCAACGAUGCAUAGCCGACCUGAGAGGGUGAUCGGCCACACUGGAACUGAGACACGGUCCAGACUCCUACGGGAGGCAGCAGUAGGGAAUCUUCCGCAAUGGGCGAAAGCCUGACGGAGCAACGCCGCGUGAGUGAUGAAGGUCUUCGGAUCGUAAAACUCUGUUAUUAGGGAAGAACAUAUGUGUAAGUAACUGUGCACGUCUUGACGGUACCUAAUCAGAAAGCCACGGCUAACUACGUG